GCCUGGCUGGCUUAUUUGGGUGAGCAUGUGACUUUUAAUCUCAGGGUCAUGAGUUCGAGCCUCAUAUUGGGUA
rnacentral:tRNA from 1 species